GUGGGGAAUAUUGGACAAUGGGCGAAAGCCUGAUCCAGCAAUGCCGCGUGAGUGAUGAAGGCCUUAGGGUUGUAAAGCUCUUUUACCAGGGAUGAUAAUGACAGUACCUGGAGAAUAAGCUCCGGCUAACUCCGUGCCAGCAGCCGCGGUAAUACGGAGGGAGCUAGCGUUGUUCGGAAUUACUGGGCGUAAAGCGCACGUAGGCGGUUACUCAAGUCAGAGGUGAAAGCCCGGGGCUCAACCCCGGAACUGCCUUUGAAACUAGGUAACUAGAAUCUUGGAGAGGUCAGUGGAAUUCCGAGUGUAGAGGUGAAAUUCGUAGAUAUUCGGAAGAACACCAGUGGCGAAGGCGACUGACUGGACAAGUAUUGACGCUGAGGUGCGAAAGCGUGGGGAGCAAACAGGAUUAGAUACCCCGGUAGUCU
rnacentral:rRNA from 1 species